CCUACGGGCGGCAGCAGUGGGGAAUAUUGCACAAUGGGCGCAAGCCUGAUGCAGCCAUGCCGCGUGUGUGAAGAAGGCCUUCGGGUUGUAAAGCACUUUCAGCGGGGAGGAAGGCGGUGAGGUUAAUAACCUCAUCGAUUGACGUUACCCGCAGAAGAAGCACCGGCUAACUCCGUGCCAGCAGCCGCGGUAAUACGGAGGGUGCAAGCGUUAAUCGGAAUUACUGGGCGUAAAGCGCACGCAGGCGGUCUGUCAAGUCGGAUGUGAAAGCCCCGGGCUCAACCUGGGAACUGCAUUCGAAACUGGCAGGCUAGAGUCUUGUAGAGGGGGGUAGAAUUCCAGGUGUAGCGGUGAAAUGCGUAGAGAUCUGGAGGAAUACCGGUGGCGAAGGCGGCCCCCUGGACAAAGACUGACGCUCAGGUGCGAAAGCGUGGGGAGCAAACAGGAUUAGAUACCCCGGUAGUC
rnacentral:rRNA from 1 species